UUUCCCAUAGGGUCCUAUGUUAAACUAAGUCCCCUGCUGGCGGCCAUCUUGGAUGAUGGAUCGGCUACAAAGUAACAACACUUGGUCAGCACCCCAUAAGGAUAAUUCAUGCUAUGUUUGGUUUUAUUCCAUUCAGUGGUUCUCUAAAAGAAGUCAUUUGUAUGCAUUUCCCAUAGGGUCCUAUGUUAAACUAAGUCCCCGGCUGGCGGCCAUCUUGGAUGAUGGAUCGGCAACAAAGUAACAACACUUGGUCAGCACCUCAUAAGGAACAUUCAUGCCAUGUUUGGUUUCAUUCCAUUCAAUGGUUCUCUAAAAGAAGUCAUUUGUAUGCAUUUCCCAUAGGGUCCUAUGUUAAACUAAGUCCCCCGCUGGCGGCCAUCUUGGA
rnacentral:lncRNA from 1 species